UACAGAGGUCUCAACCGUUGUUCGGAUUCAUUGGGCGUAAAGGGUGCGUAGGCGGUCGCGUAAGUCAGGUGUGAACUCUCAGGGCUCAACCCUGAAACUGCACUUGAUACUGCGUGGCUCGGGUACUGGAGAGGAGACUGGAAUUUACGGUGUAGCAGUGAAAUGCGUAGAUAUCGUAAGGAAGACCAGUGGCGAAGGCGAGUCUCUGGACAGUUACCGACGCUGAGGCACGAAGGUCAGGGGAGCAAACGGG
rnacentral:rRNA from 1 species